GGAAGGGCUAUAGCUCAGUGGAAGAGAGUCUGCUUUGCAUGCAGAACAUCCCAGGUUCAAUUCCUGGCACUUCCU